rnacentral:rRNA from 1 species
AACGAACGCUGGCGGCAGGCUUAACACAUGCUAGUCGAACGCACCGCAAGGUGAGUGGCAGACGGGUGAGUAACACGUGGGGAUCUGCCCAAUGGUACGGAAUAGCUCCGGGAAACUGGAAUUAAUACCGUAUGAGCCCGCAAGGGGAAAGAUUUAUCGCGAUUGGAUGAACCCGCGUCGGAUUAGCUGGUUGGUGUGGUAAAGGCGCACCAAGGCGACGAUCCGUAGCUGGUCUGAGAGGAUGAUCAGCCACACUGGGACUGAAACACGGCCCAGACUCCUACGGGAGGCAGCAGUGGGGAAUAUUGGACAAUGGGCGCAAGCCUGUUCCAGCCAUGCCGCGUGAGUGAUGAAGGCCUUAGGGUUGUAAAGCUCUUUCGCCGACGAAGAUAAUGACGGUAGUCGGAGAAGAAGCCCCGGCUAACUUCGUGCCAGCCGCCGCAGUAAUAC